CUUGGUCUCAAACCGUCUCUCCCCUUCAUCGUUGCAUCUUUUAACUUCCAAUAAAACCUCAAUCUCAAGUUUUUAUAAAUUAUGGGUUGUAGCUUCACCAAUACCAAGUGGUAGGUAGGGCUCUUCCCAUAGAGAAAGACGAGCAUCCUAAGCUCUACUGCAUGAAGCUUUGGGCCACCAAUGAGAUUCGUGCCAAAUCCUAAUUUUGGUCUCAACACUGUUGUGAAGCCGACGAGUGUACUCUGUUUUAUCAUCCCCUAAGGCUUUCUUCCAUUGCUACAAUGUUGAAGGUAUGGAUGAGAUAGAGUUUACUGAAGUUGAGAGCAAUAUGAAUGAUAUUGUAGUUGAGUACCAACAAUACCAAGAUGCCACUGCUGAUGACAAAGAAAAUGAAGACUAUGAAGAUGAGGACGUUCAGGAAGAGGCUUUAAGUAGUAGUAAUGCAGGAGUUCUUUUCAAUUCAGGAAGAAUGAUGUAGGAGCAUGUAUUUUUAUGUUUGUGUCGUUAAUUA